rnacentral:rRNA from 1 species
GACGAACGCUGGCGGCGUGCCUAAUACAUGCAAGUAGGACGCAGUUGCGAACGGGUGAGUAACGCGUAGGUAACUACCUAUUAGAGGGGGAUAACUAUUGGAAACGAUAGCUAAUACAGCAUAAUAGUAGAUGGACAUGCGUUGUAUUAGCUAGUAGGUAGGGUAAUGGCCUACCUAGGCAACGAUACAUAGCCGACAUGAGAGUGUUACAGUCCCCACUGUGUACGAGACACGGCCCAGACUCCGUCUGGAGGCAGCAGUAGGGAAUCUUCGUAAAUGGGGGGAACCCUGACCGAGAAACGCCUCGUGAGUGAAGAAGGUUUUCGGAUCGUAAAUCUCUGUUGUUAAGGAAGCGGUACUUAACCAGAAAGGGACGGCUAACUACGUGCCAGCCGCCGCGGUAAUUC